UAAAGAAGAGCCAACAUAAAGGACAAUAGAAAAAAAGGAGAGAGAAACAUACCAGGUCCCAGUGGUAUUACUACAGCUACUGCUGCUCCUUUCCAUAUCGAUGGCCUCUGGGAUUUCUGGUCCUAAUGAAAACAACUACCCUGAAGCCCUGGCUGCACAUUAGAAUUACCUAGGACACCUAAAAGAAAGAAAAGAAAAAGAAAAAAAAAAAAAAACCCUCAAGCCCCAUUCCAUCCCCCAGAGACUCUGAUUCAUGUGAUCUGGAGUGGAGCAGCCUUGUAAAGAUGAGGAGAGAAAGGAAAGGACAGGAGGAGAAAAACAGUAUUUCAGCCAGACCUUCUCGUUUUGAAACACUUGGUCUGAUAAAGGCUGGCUCCAUGCUAUUCAUGCAAAACAAACGCCAGAUAAAUUUAGUUUCCUUUCUCUUCCUUAUGCUGAAGAGUGGGAACUCCUUGACAUUUUGGUGGGAAGCAGGAGCAGAGACUGUAAUGAGAAAGCCUUAAUUCUAGAAAGCAAACAUAGAGACCUCCUUGGAGAGAAGGAGGAGCACUCCUUCACUCACCCAGUCAGCAGAUAGUCUGGAAACGAGACGCUGAACCAGCAAGGAGCCCCCCCACAGCCUGCAGGAGGAGGAAAGUGUCCACCAGGUCAGGGACGGGGCGGGACAAUGUGCCUGAGAGUUGUGGGCCCUGCUGUGGAGUCAGCAGGGAACGGAGUGGGUCUGGCCUCCUGGGCAGAGAGAUCAGCUCGCUCAGGUGUACCCUGGCUUCCAGCUGCUCAGGCAGGAAAGGCUCCCCCAGCCAAACUGGAGGAAGUCAGAGCAGUAAUGAAGCAAUAUGGUACGGACAGAGUGGAUUACUACACUGACUGCUCGGAGCAGUUACGCUCUAAACAGCCCGACAGAAAUACUCUCAAAUGCCUGUGUUUGCAAGCAUAUUUACGCAGUGUGGAUAGUAAGAGUGGAAAAAUGGAAACCACCUCCGUGACCAGGACUGUCAAAGAGAAUGCUGGAGAGCCAUGAAAGAGGAUUUCAGCUGCCUCCAUUUUGACCUCAAACUUUCUUCUUCUCAGCUUGUCUCUUGGCUCAGGGGGAAGACCCUAAGGACAAAGCACCCCCUGAUGGGAACCAAAACUACCCCUCGAGCAUCAGGACCACUCAGAGCCAGCAAGCCCCAUCCCCUUGAUUGACUCCAAGACAAUGAGGAUUUGACCUUCACUGCUCACUUGCACCUCCCCACCCACCUUACAUUUUCCUUACAUAAACCUGGAAGUAUUUCCAGCACUUUCAAAAC
rnacentral:lncRNA from 12 species